ensembl:misc_RNA Metazoa_SRP Metazoan signal recognition particle RNA
GCCGGGCACGGUUGGUGCAUGCCUGUAGUCCCAGCUACUCGGGAGGCUGAGACAGGAGGAUCGCUUGAGUCCAGGAGUUCUGGGCUGUAGUGCCCUAUGCUGAUCGGGUGUCCGCACUAAGUUCGGCAUCAAUAUGGUGACCUCCCGGGAGCGGGGGGGCCACCAGGUUGCCUAAGGAGGGGUGAACCGGCCCAGGUCAGAAAUGGAGCAGGUCAAAACUCCCGUGCUGAUCAGAUAGUUCUAUAUAUGGCAAUUAUUUAAAAUAAAUUCAAAUAAAGCAGAAGAGAACAGUAAUCCACAGCAAUUCUGCAAAGAAAUUGAAGGUAGAAUGUGUCCUGU